rnacentral:rRNA from 1 species
GGAUGCGAACAUACCAGCACAAAAGCACCGGGUGCCAGCAGAACACCGAGGUCAAGCGCGAGCGGGCGUGAGUAACAAUUCCAUGGGUGACUUUCAUUGAGGCUCACUCAAUGGUGUCCC